ensembl:lncRNA
GCUCGAUUUCUUUUAAGUUCUGCACAGAUAAUUUAGUGUGAUGACUAAAUUAGUUAAAAACUCUGAAGUGAUUCUUCAUAUUAAAGUCAUAAGUUAUACUCAAAGUUUUCUUGUUUCAGCCUUCCUUGCAUUUCACGUCAAGGCAAGCCUCCCACAUCUGAGAAGCAGAGUAUAUGCCCUAGAGUGCAGCUGCGUGAUGAUACACUCCCUGGAUGUACAGUUAUCACAAAAGGAAUUACGAGAGAAACAAUGACUUAGAUGAGCACAGUAGAAAAUGCAAGCAGGAAACCUUUGAGAUGGCCAUUAGAGAAUUUGGCAAGGAGCUGCUUCACGAGCACUAAGGAGUCUUUCACACAAGAUGUCCCUA